AAGUCGUAACAAGGUUUCCGUAGGUGAACCUGCGGAAAGGAUCAUUAAAUAAUUUAGAUGGCCUUUGCUAGUUUUCUAGCGAAUGGUUCAUUCUUUUUUACUGUGAACUGUUUUAAUUUUUCAGCGUCUGAGGAAUGUCUUUUAGCCAUAGGGAUAGGCUACUAGAAUGUUAACCGAGCUGAAAGUCAGGCUUAGGCCUGGUAUCCUAUUAAUUAUUUACCAAAAGAAUUCAGUAUUAUAAUUGUAACAUAAGCGUAAAAAACUUAUAAAACAACUUUUAACAACGGAUCUCUUGGUUCUCGCAUCGAUGAAGAACGUAGCAAAGUGCGAUAACUAGUGUGAAUUGCAUAUUCAGUGAAUCAUCGAGUCUUUGAACGCAACUUGCGCUCAAUGGUAUUCCAUUGAGCACGCCUGUUUCAGUAUCAAAAACACCCCACAUUCAUAAUUUUGUUGUGAAUGGAAAUGAGAGUUUCGGCUUUAUUGCUGAAUUCUUUAAAAUUAUUAGGCCUGAACUAUUGUUCUUUCUGCCUGAACAUUUUUUUAAUAUAAAGGAAUGCUCUAGUAAAAAGACUAUCUCUGGGGCCUCCCAAAUAAAUCAUUCUUAAAUUUGAUCUGAAAUCAGGCGGGAUUACCCGCUGAACUUAA
rnacentral:misc_RNA from 1 species